GUUAGGCGUCGAAAGUCAGGCACAGCAACGGGCGGCAGGGAAGGUCCCCUGCUGUGACAGGAGCAGAGGGUAUUUCUCAGUACACGUACUUGUCUGUACUUGUGUUCUCGCGCACCUGUGUCACAUCAUCUUCCAUGGCCGAAGACCAGUUCCAAUAGUAAGCACAGAAGUAAGGAGGAUGCUAAAAGUCCCCGGAUGUCAUUCUUGCUCCGCCCCAGAUAUCAAGGAGACAUCGGAUGCAUCCUCACCAAACGAGACCAAUCCCAUGAAUCAUUGCACCCCAAGUUUGUUCCUGGGAGACGAGUUAGCAAGACUGGUCUUGCCAAGACCACAAGUACGUUCUUGACGUUCUUGAUAUUAGGAAACACCCAGUGCAUGACAGAGGGGACCUGCACAACUUCUACGUGCGGCGUCGAUGGAGGCCGGAGGCUCCUCUGUUAACAUGCUGCUCAAAACUGGCUGACAUCUGUUUUCCUCCCCGCUUGGUACGAUGGCUCUUGCAGCUCACAGCGGCUGGUUUCACCAGGUCGGUCUUUGGUCGGUGGUUUGGUGCGCCGUGUGUGUGUCUCUGAGGGUCAGCUGGUGGCCUUCAGAUAUGAUGGGGCCCUCACAACCUUCUUUACGGUCAUGUUGUUUGACGUGGUUCAUGUUGCAGCUCAGUCUGCGACCGUGGGUUCAGCCACUUGCGGCUGCUCGCAGGGACGGGGCGAGGGAGCAUCGGAGUGUGUCGUGUUAACUGACACGUCGCAUUUACUCACCACUGCCGCGGUAGCAGUGUCAGGUCAUGUUGUCUAGUAUCACAGCGGGCCAGUAACUUGACACUCGGUUGAGGUUAAGCGGUUCAGUGGUGAGUCGCGCUGUUGCGACGGGGGCUGGACCACAUUUAGGACAAGAGAGUCUGCCCACACCUGCGUAAUCCCAGCUUCUCCAUCAGCACACAUGUACGGAUCUGCCUCCUGGGGCACGCUUAAAUCUUUGUGGAAGGAGGCUUGAGGUGGGGGGGGGGAGUUUAUGAAAAACACAUUUCGCGGUGUCAGCGGAUCUCUUGAUAUGAAACACCCACUUACACACGGCUGGCGUAUGUUGUGAGGGUGUGACUGUGAUGCUGAGCGCUGUCAGCGGUCCCCACCACAGCCGUUAAGGCGCGCACAGAGCAGGCCGCCGCAUCCACAGCAGGCCGCCACAUCCACAGCAGGCCGCCGCAUCCACACAUGGUGUGUUACGGACCAUCUUCAGAGACAUUCCAUCCGGCAGGCAAGCAAAAGUGUCAAAUUUACAUUGUGCUAUUUAACUUUUACACGAUGUCCAUUGAUAAGCAUUAAAAAUAAACGUCUGAGCAUCGACACAAACAGAAUCUGUAGGUGCAAGAACAGUGACAUUCGGCCAUGUUUUCAUACCGCUACAUCAUGUGCAAAAACUGAAUUUUCAUUAAUUGCACACAGGUGUUCCAGACUGUACACAAAAUACUCCUGAGCAGGGAAGCUUAACGCACCAGAGGGACCAUCACACGUCCUGAUGAUGUGGACUGGAGUGCCCUAAAUCCACUGUGGGGUUAUAGAAGACGGUGCCAUUCACUGAGUACAAUCAUAUGACAGCAGGGCACUUCAGCAGAAUGGCUACGGCGCUGACGCGGAAAGCCGGAGCGAGCAUCAUUAUCCCCGGUGCGGGGCUCUGACGGUGGGGAUCUGGAGUGAGGGAGUCGGCGCUCGGCUUGCAUCUCCCUGGGCGAUCCGACGCAAUCAAUCUGCCCAAAAACAUCUGGACAUGUUCACAUGGCCCGGGCUGCUCCGGCGACGUGCUUUAAACAGAGAGCAAUGGCGCAAAGCGUGAAACGUGCGAUGGCUUUAGCGGGACGAAGCGCCGGCGCCGCAGUCCGACCCUGACGGGAAAAUGUGGCAUGUAAUGCUUGAAUUUAGUGAAAUCCCCAGUGUGACAGUCACUGGCAGCCAUUAUAUAAUUUAAACCUAACACACAAUCUUUUGUAAUGCUUCUAUCGUCACAAUCAUAGGCCUAUCUAUAAAGAAAAAUUGAAAGUAUCAUUAACCGUUUCAUCUUAAUGCCCUUUCCGUUAUCAGAAACGAUUGGACCAAGUAUCGUUAUAAGAUGGAUGCCCGGGUUCAUUCCAUUAAAUUCCGAUACUUUUUUUUUUUUUGCCGCGGGGAGGCGCUAUACGUAAAAUAACCCGUAUUUCUGUUUAAUCGGAUUUUGUGUAUUUUAUUCUGUCGUUAAUUUUGCCCUUGUAAUUAUGCAUGUUCCUUACUCAUGUAAAAUGCAACACGGGUUGUAAAUAUAUGAAUAAAUGCUAUAUUUUAACAAUU